rnacentral:hammerhead_ribozyme from 1 species
AUACUGCUGAAGAGUCUCAAACUAGGACGAAACAGCUGUUCAGUAC